rnacentral:rRNA from 1 species
AGAGUUUGAUCCUGGCUCAGAUUGAACGCUGGCGGCAUGCUUUACACAUGCAAGUCGGACGGCAGCACAGAGAAGCUUGCUUCUUGGGUGGCGAGUGGCGAACGGGUGAGUAACAUAUCGGAACGUACCGAGUAAUGGGGGAUAACUAAUCGAAAGAUUAGCUAAUACCGCAUAUUCUCUGAGGAGGAAAGCAGGGGACCUUCGGGCCUUGCGUUAUUCGAGCGGCCGAUAUCUGAUUAGCUAGUUGGUGGGGUAAAGGCCUACCAAGGCGACGAUCAGUAGCGGGUCUGAGAGGAUGAUCCGCCACACUGGGACUGAGACACGGCCCAGACUCCUACGGGAGGCAGCAGUGGGGAAUUUUGGACAAUGGGCGCAAGCCUGAUCCAGCCAUGCCGCGUGUCUGAAGAAGGCCUUCGGGUUGUAAAGGACUUUUGUCAGGGAAGAAAAGGCUGUUGCUAAUAUCGACAGCUGAUGACGGUACCUGAAGAAUAAGCACCGGCUAACUACGUGCCAGCAGCCGCGGUAAUACGUAGGGUGCGAGCGUUAAUCGGAAUUACUGGGCGUAAAGCGAGCGCAGACGGUUACUUAAGCAGGAUGUGAAAUCCCCGGGCUCAACCUGGGAACUGCGUUCUGAACUGGGUGACUAGAGUGUGUCAGAGGGAGGUAGAAUUCCACGUGUAGCAGUGAAAUGCGUAGAGAUGUGGAGGAAUACCGAUGGCGAAGGCAGCCUCCUGGGAUAACACUGACGUUCAUGCUCGAAAGCGUGGGUAGCAAACAGGAUUAGAUACCCUGGUAGUCCACGCCCUAAACGAUGUCAAUUAGCU